CAUGCAGUCGAGCGGACAGAUGGGAGCUUGCUCCCUGAUGUUAGCGGCGGACGGGUGAGUAACACGUGGGUAACCUGCCUGUAAGACUGGGAUAACUCCGGGAAACCGGGGCUAAUACCGGAUGGUUGUUUGAACCGCAUGGUUCAGACAUAAAAGGUGGCUUCGGCUACCACUUACAGAUGGACCCGCGGCGCAUUAGCUAGUUGGUGAGGUAACGGCUCACCAAGGCGACGAUGCGUAGCCGACCUGAGAGGGUGAUCGGCCACACUGGGACUGAGACACGGCCCAGACUCCUACGGGAGGCAGCAGUAGGGAAUCUUCCGCAAUGGACGAAAGUCUGACGGAGCAACGCCGCGUGAGUGAUGAAGGUUUUCGGAUCGUAAAGCUCUGUUGUUAGGGAAGAACAAGUGCCGUUCAAAUAGGGCGGCACCUUGACGGUACCUAACCAGAAAGCCACGGCUAACUACGUGCCAGCAGCCGCGGUAAUACGUAGGUGGCAAGCGUUGUCCGGAAUUAUUGGGCGUAAAGGGCUCGCAGGCGGUUUCUUAAGUCUGAUGUGAAAGCCCCCGGCUCAACCGGGGAGGGUCAUUGGAAACUGGGGAACUUGAGUGCAGAAGAGGAGAGUGGAAUUCCACGUGUAGCGGUGAAAUGCGUAGAGAUGUGGAGGAACACCAGUGGCGAAGGCGACUCUCUGGUCUGUAACUGACGCUGAGGAGCGAAAGCGUGGGGAGCGAACAGGAUUAGAUACCCUGGUAGUCCACGCCGUAAACGAUGAGUGCUAAGUGUUAGGGGGUUUCCGCCCCUUAGUGCUGCAGCUAACGCAUUAAGCACUCCGCCUGGGGAGUACGGUCGCAAGACUGAAACUCAAAGGAAUUGACGGGGGCCCGCACAAGCGGUGGAGCAUGUGGUUUAAUUCGAAGCAACGCGAAGAACCUUACCAGGUCUUGACAUCCUCUGACAAUCCUAGAGAUAGGACGUCCCCUUCGGGGGCAGAGUGACAGGUGGUGCAUGGUUGUCGUCAGCUCGUGUCGUGAGAUGUUGGGUUAAGUCCCGCAACGAGCGCAACCCUUGAUCUUAGUUGCCAGCAUUCAGUUGGGCACUCUAAGGUGACUGCCGGUGACAAACCGGAAGAAAGGUGGGGAUGACGUCAAAUCAUCAUGCCCCUUAUGACCUGGGCUACACACGUGCUCAUGGACAGAACAAAGGGCAGCGAAACCGCGAGGUUAACCAAUCCAAAAUCUGUUCUCAGUUCGGAUC
rnacentral:rRNA from 1 species